rnacentral:lncRNA from 1 species
CACUUAAGUGUUAAUAGCUAAUAAUAGAGCAAGCUUGAUUACUACCUUGGUGUCCUAAAACGGAUGUUGGCCUGCCAGGGAGCAGCCAAGGUGAAGUUUUCAACCAGGCCGACCAACUUCAGAGUCCACUGGCUUCAAAACAGUGCUUUACAUCCUCCUUCCAACAUUAUUCACAAGCCGAUCAAGACUGAGAGAGUCACAAGUGUGUGAAACCUGUAUUCUUUCUGACUUCAUUUUCCCUGGUCGAAAUUUUUGUAGAAUAGACAAAUCAAGAAUGAUGACUUCUUAAGAUGCAGUAUUCAAGUUCAGAAAUCUAUACUCAGAUGACCUUAUGUAGGUCAUCUGCUUCUGAGGUUUAUCUCACCAGUGGCAUCCUGACUCAAGCUGUAUACAUUUGCAAUAUCUGAUUUUUAACCACACACUCUUCAUCCUAUUGACCCAGAGUGAAAAUUGAUACUCUUAGCUGAAGGACUGUUCCCUUGAGUAUAUUUAAACCAGACCAAUCUCUGUGUUUAAUCUGGGUUCAUCAGGAACCAUUAGCCUUGAUUGGUUUGUUUUUCUCCCCCUCCAUCUCAGGACUUGAUUCUAUUGAGUUAACAACUAUUCUCCCCAGAGAACAGCUACCGCAAGCCUGUUUCAAGUAAUUCCAAUAUCUGGCUCUUAGAAAUUGAACUGAUCUUUUUUUUCUUUAGUUUUAUGUGAAGAACUGCAGUAAUGAAUUCUGAAUUUGUUCAAAUCAUUGAAGAUGUGUGAAGACAAAACAUUCACUCAAAUCUCUAUCAUGUUAGCAUGUUAUUUAUCAUUGCUCUGUUCUUCAUUGUUGAAUAAUGCAAUUGAGUUAAAAAGAAUAAACAUUAUUUACCGAAGACUCA